UACGGGGGGGGCAAGCGUUGUUCGGAAUUACUGGGCGUAAAGGGCUCGUAGGCGGCCAACUAAGUCCGACGUGAAAUCCCCAGGCUUAACCUGGGAACUGCGUCGGAUACUGGAUGGCUUGAAUCCGGGAGAGGGAUGCGGAAUUCCAGGUGUAGCGGUGAAAUGCGUAGAUAUCUGGAGGAACACCGGUGGCGAAGGCGGCAUCCUGGACCAAUACUGGCGCUGAGGAGCGAAAGCCAGGGGAGCAAACGGG
rnacentral:rRNA from 1 species